rnacentral:rRNA from 1 species
AUUGAACGCUGGCGGCAUGCCUAACACAUGCAAGUCGAGCGCGCGGCGGACGGGUGAGUGAUGUCUGGGAAACUGUCUGUUGGAGGGGGAUAACUACUGGAAACGGUUUCUAAUACCGCAUACCAUCAUCUUUGGCCAGUUGUGUUUAGCUAGUAGGUGGGGUAACGGCUCACCUCGGCGACGAUCACUAGCUGGGCUGAGAGGAUGACAAGCCACACUGGGAAUGAGACACGGUCCAGACUCCUACGGGAGGCAGCAGUGGGGAAUAUUGGACAAUGGUCGCAAGCCUGAUGCAGCCAUGCCGCGUGUGUGAAGAAGGCCUUCGGGUUGUAAAGCACUUUCAGUGGGGAGGCGUUACCCGCAGAAGAAGCACCGGCUAACUCCGUGCCAGCAGCCGCGGUAAUAC